AACGUUACCGCGCGGGAAUGCCAGAACGCGCACCCAUUGGCUGUUGGACGCACGGAUUUCUAUCGCAGUCUGAACCACGUUGGGAGAAAUAGAAUGUGGCCCCGGCAGGGCUUCAUUGGGUCAGGAAAAUAUGUAAAUAGUCGUCGAGCAAGCAGGUACACUGUUCACAGGGAAUGCUCGUCAAAUUCCUAAAUACAAGGACUCUUGGAAGUGAGAUGGGAGAACAGGUGAAAUAGAAUAAGAAGAGAGACCAUUUUACCUCGGGGAAUUUCAUUUGGAAGCAGGUAGCAUCCUAUAGCAUAGUUCCUUUCUUCCAGCAGUUUCCCGGACCUGAAGGCGAAAAGAGGAAAUCCUGUGAAUGUGAACAAUUGUUUUGUGAAACGUUGUGCGCCCUGAAGGAAUGGCUCCGUAGGCGGACCCGGUUGUGCCGCACCUGACCAGAUAGCGCAGCGUGGCGGUGGUGGCAGUCCUGUUCCGUUGUUCUUGUUGGCCUCGCGCUAUUUACUCUUGGACCUACGAGACACGAGGUUCUGUUCGGUUCGCAGUGACUGCUAGGUCGCUUUGAUGUCUUAAGCGGAACGAGGAAUAUGGCAAAGCAAAUCGCGGCUGCUUGGAAUAGAACGCAGUCGGCGCUGCUCUCAGAUUUGCUCCGUUCGCCAGUGAAGCAACGGUAUUUCGUGAAAGGUCAACGUAUACGUGUACAAACAGGCUCAUUAAAUGUUCUAUUUAAAUUA